GACGAACGCUGGCGGCGUGCCUAAUACAUGCAAGUAGAACGCACGGUUUAUACCGUAGCUUGCUACACCAUAGACUGUGAGUUGCGAACGGGUGAGUAACGCGUAGGUAACCUGCCUGGUAGCGGGGGAUAACUAUUGGAAACGAUAGCUAAUACCGCAUAAUAUUAAUUAUUGCAUGAUAAUUAAUUGAAAGGUGCAAUUGCACCACUACCAGAUGGACCUGCGUUGUAUUAGCUAGUAGGUGAGGUAACGGCUCACCUAGGCGACGAUACAUAGCCGAACUGAGAGGGUGAUCGGCCACACUGGGACUGAGACACGGCCCAGACUCCUACGGGAGGCAGCAGUAGGGAAUCUUCGGCAAUGGACGAAAGUCUGACCGAGCAACGCCGCGGGAGUGAAGAAGGUUGUCGGAUCGGAAAGCUCUGUUGUAAGAGAAGAAAGGGUGUGAGAGUGGAAAGUUCACACUGUGACGGUAUCUUACCAGAAAGGGACGGCUAACUACGUG
rnacentral:rRNA from 1 species